rnacentral:tRNA from 1 species
UGGCUGAGUGGUUAAGCGCCUGGCUUGCUAACCUGGAGUCCUGGGUUCGAAUCUCGG